rnacentral:lncRNA from 1 species
ACAUUUAUAUUUUAGUUUUAGGUGAACCACACCUGGCCCUUUUUAUUUUUUAUUUUGAGAUAGGGUCUCUCUAAGUUGCUUAGGGCCUUGUUGAGGUGGGCCUCAAACUCACAAUCCUCUUGCCUCAGCUUUCCAAGUCAUUGAGAUUACAGGACACACCACUGUGCCUGGCUGUACUCCAUUUCUUGACUUAAGUAAAAAAAUUUUUUUUUAAUUUUUAAAAUUUUUGAGGCAAUUUUAGAUUUACUGAAAAAUUACACAUAUAGUACAAAGAUUUUCCAUAUACCCUUCACCCAGCUUCUUCUAAAAUAAAGAGCUUACUAACCAUAGCACAGUUACCAAAAACAAGAAAUUAACAGUGAUUCAUAGGCUUUAUUUGAAUUUUGCCCUUACCCCCAACUAAAGUCCUUUUCCUCUUCUGAGAUCCAGUCUGUUCUCAUAUUGCAUUUGGUGGUCUUGUCCUCUUAGUCUCUAGGUCUCAGUCUUUGAGCUCUGUUGUCUACAUCCCCUGACACACACACACUUAAGAAUGGGUAUGGAGCUGGCAAGGUGGCUCACAACUCUAAUCCCAGAGGUUGAGGUAGGAGGAUCGUGAGUUCAAGGCUCAGCCUCAGCAAUUUAGCAAGGCCCUAAGCAACUCAGUGAGACCUGUUUCUAAUCCCUGCUUGGGAUGUGGCUCAGUGGCUAAGCGCCCUGCGUUCAAUUCCUGGUACCAUAAAGAAAAAAGAAUGGGUAUGGAAUGUGGAGAGAGAGGGAUCCACAUCACUCUGGGAAUGAUACAGCAAAUCUGGUUGGAGACAAACUGAAGGUCGGGUUGGCCUUGGGUGGGGUGGGGUAGUUUGCAGAACUGUGUAGACUGCAAAGCCUCUGCCAUAUUCCCUUUUGCCUGUGGUUAAGGAAGAUGCUACUAGCCUGACUCUGUGUGUGUGUGUGUGUGUGUGUGUGUCCAUUAGGAUCUGAAAUAGGACUGUUUCCUGAACUCAAAUCUUGUCCAUCCCUGGGGAGGCCAGGGUGUCCCCUUGCUAUGACCUUACCAGUCCAUGAUUUUUUUUUUUUUGCCAUACUGGGGAUUGAACCCAGGAGUACUGUACUCCUGAGCUCCAUCCCUACUCAGUCUUUUUAUUUUGGGCCCUUUUAAUUGAAUUUCUCGCUAUAUUACUAAGAUUGGCCUCAAAUUUGCCAUCUUCCUGUCUCAGCCUUCUGAGUCCUGGGAUUAUAGGCAUUACUACUGUGCCUAGCUCCUGCUGUAUUCUUUUUAAAAUAUUUUUUUAGUCUUUGAUGGACCUUUAUUUAUAUGUGGUGCUGAGGAUCGAACCCAUACCUCACACAUGCUAGGC